AUUGAACGCUGGCGGCAUGCUUUACACAUGCAAGUCGAACGGCAGCGCGGGCUUCGGCCUGGCGGCGAGUGGCGAACGGGUGAGUAAUGCAUCGGAACGUGCCCAGUAGUGGGGGAUAGCCCGGCGAAAGCCGGAUUAAUACCGCAUACGACCUGAGGGUGAAAGCGGGGGACCGAAAGGCCUCGCGCUAUUGGAGCGGCCGAUGUCGGAUUAGCUAGUUGGUGGGGUAAAGGCUUACCAAGGCGACGAUCCGCAGCUGGUCUGAGAGGACGACCAGCCACACUGGGACUGAGACACGGCCCAGACUCCUACGGGAGGCAGCAGUGGGGAAUUUUGGACAAUGGGGGCAACCCUGAUCCAGCCAUGCCGCGUGCGGGAAGAAGGCCUUCGGGUUGUAAACCGCUUUUGUUCGGGAAGAAAUCUUCUGGGCUAAUACCCCGGGGGGAUGACGGUACCGGAAGAAUAAGCACCGGCUAACUACGUG
rnacentral:rRNA from 1 species